rnacentral:rRNA from 1 species
GAUGAACGCUGGCGGCGUGCCUAAUACAUGCAAGUAGAACGCUGAAGGAAGGAGCUUGCUCUUUCCGGAUGAGUUGCGAACGGGUGAGUAACGCGUAGGUAACCUGCCUGGUAGCGGGGGAUAACUAUUGGAAACGAUAGCUAAUACCGCAUAACAGUAGAUGUUGCAUGAUAUCUACUUAAAAGGUGCAAUUGCACCACUACCAGAUGGACCUGCGUUGUAUUAGCUUGUUGGUGAGGUAACGGCUCACCAAGGCGACGAUACAUAGCCGACCUGAGAGGGUGAUCGGCCACACUGGGACUGAGACACGGCCCAGACUCCUACGGGAGGCAGCAGUAGGGAAUCUUCGGCAAUGGACGGAAGUCUGACCGAGCAACGCCGCGUGAGUGAAGAAGGUUUUCGGAUCGUAAAGCUCUGUUGUAAGAGAAGAACGAGUGUGAGAGUGGAAAGUUCACACUGUGACGGUAUCUUACCAGAAAGGGACGGCUAACUACGUG